UACGUAGGUGGCAAGCGUUGUCCGGAUUUAUUGGGUUUAAAGGGUGCGUAGGCGGUUCCAUAAGUCAGUGGUGAAAUUCGGCAGCUCAACUGUCGAGGUGCCAUUGAUACUGCGGAACUUGAGUACUGAUGAGGUAGGCGGAAUUGACGGUGUAGCGGUGAAAUGCCUAGAUAUCGUCAAGAACACCGAUAGCGAAGGCAGCUUACCAAGGAGUAACUGACGCUCAGGCACGAAAGUGCGGGGAUCAAACAGG
rnacentral:rRNA from 1 species